AGUGAACGUUGGCGGCGUGGAUUAGGCAUGCAAGUCGAGCGAUCGUAGCAAUACGGGAGCGGCAAACGGGGUAGGAAUACAUCGGAACGUACCUUUUGGUUGAGAAUAGCGUUGGGAAACUGACGGUAAUACUCAAUAAAGUCGAGAGACCAAAGGUUUACUGCCGGAAGAGCGGCCGAUGCGAUAUUAGGUAGUUGGUGGGGUAAUGGCCUACCAAGCCUGAGAUGUCUAGGGGGUGUGAGAGCAUGGCCCCACCACUGGGACUGAGAUACUGCCCAGACACCUACGGGUGGCUGCAGUCGAGGAUCUUCGUCAAUGGGCGAAAGCCUGAACGAGCGACGCCGCGUGCGGGAUGAAGGCCCUUGGGUUGUAAACCGCUGUCAGGGGGAUGAAACCGUAAGGUUGACAGAGCCCCAGAGGAAGCACGGGCUAAAGUUCGUGCCAGCAGCCGCGGUAAU
rnacentral:rRNA from 1 species